rnacentral:rRNA from 1 species
GAUGAACGCUGACAGAAUGCUUAACACAUGCAAGUCUUUGGCGAAGCUGUGCUUGCACAGCCUAGCCAAGGCGGACGGGUGAGUAACGCGUAAGGAACUUGCCCUGCAGUCAGGGAUAACAGACGGAAACGACUGAUAAGACCUGGUAAAGUCAGGCGGACUCAUGUCCAGCCUGAUGAAAAGAGAUGCUGCAGGAGAGCCUUGCGUCCUAUUAGCUUGUUGGUGGGGUAACGGCCCACCAAGGCGAUGAUAGGUAGCCGGCCUGAGAGGGUGGACGGCCACAAGGGGACUGAGAUACGGCCCUUACUCCUACGGGAGGCAGCAGUGGGGAAUAUUGGACAAUGGGGGCAACCCUGAUCCAGCAAUUCUGUGUGCACGAUGAAGGUUUUCGGAUGGUAAAGUGCUUUCAGCAGGGAAGAAAAAAUGACGGUACCUGCAGAAGAAGCGACGGCUAAAUACGUG